rnacentral:rRNA from 1 species
CUGGCUCAGGAUGAACGCUGGCGGCGUGCCUAACACAUGCAAGUCGAGCGAGAAACCUCUUGAAGAUAUCGGUUGAUUCUGUGAGGCGGAAAGCGGCGGACGGGUGAGUAACGCGUAGGCAACCUGCCCCUUGCAGAGGGAUAGCCUCGGGAAACCGGGAUUAAAACCUCAUAACGCACAGAUAAGACAUCUUGACUGUGCCAAAGAUUUAUCGGCAAGGGAUGGGCCUGCGUCUGAUUAGUUAGUUGGUGAGGUAACGGCUCACCAAGGCGACGAUCAGUAGCCGACCUGAGAGGGUGAUCGGCCACAUUGGAACUGAGACACGGUCCAAACUCCUACGGGAGGCAGCAGUGGGGAAUAUUGCACAAUGGGGGAAACCCUGAUGCAGCAACGCCGCGUGAAGGAUGAAGGCCCUUGGGUCGUAAACUUCUGUUCUAAGGGAAGAUAGUGACGGUACCUUAGGAGCAAGUCCCGGCUAACUACGUGCCAGCCGCAGC